GAUGAACGCUGGCGGCGUGCCUAAUACAUGCAAGUCGAGCGAACGGACGAGAAGCUUGCUUCUCUGAUGUUAGCGGCGGACGGGUGAGUAACACGUGGAUAACCUACCUAUAAGACUGGGAUAACUUCGGGAAACCGUAGCUAAUACCGGAUAAUAUUUUGAACCGCAUGGUUCAAAAGUGAAAGACGGUCUUGCUGUCACUUAUAGAUGGAUCCGCGCUGCAUUAGCUAGUUGGUAAGGUAACGGCUUACCAAGGCAACGAUGCAUAGCCGACCUGAGAGGGGGAUCGGCCACAAUGGAACUGAGACACGGUACAGACUCCUACGGGAGGCAGCAGUAGGGAAUCUUCCGCAAUGGGCGAAAGCCUGACGGAGCAAAGCCGCGUGAGUGAUGAAGGUCUUCGGAUCGUAAAACUCUGUUAUUAGGGAAGAACAUAUGUGUAAGUAACUGUGCACAUCUUGACGGUACCUAAUCAGAAAGCCACGGCUAACUACGUG
rnacentral:rRNA from 1 species